rnacentral:snRNA from 1 species
CAAUUCUCAUCUCACUAUUGGUU